rnacentral:rRNA from 1 species
AAUCAACGCUGGCGGCGUGCCUCAGACAUGCAAGUCGAACGAUUAAAGCUCUCUUCGGAGAGUGUAUAGAGUGGCGCACGGGUGAGUAACACGUAAGUAAUCUACCUUUGAGUGGGGAAUAACAGUCGGAAACGACUGCUAAUACCGCAUAAUGCAGCGGCAUCGCAAGAUGACAGUUGUUAAAGGAGCAAUCCGCUUAAAGAGGAGCUUGCGGCAGAUUAGCUAGUUGGUAAGGUAAUGGCUUACCAAGGCUACGAUCUGUAUCCGGUCUAAGAGGACGGUCGGACACACUGACACUGAAUAACGGGUCAGACUCCUACGGGAGGCAGCAGUCGGGAAUUUUGGGCAAUGGGCGAAAGCCUGACCCAGCAACGCCGCGUGAAGGAUGAAGUAUUUCGGUAUGUAAACUUCGAAAGAAUGGAAGAAUAAAUGACGGUACCAUUUAUAAGGUCCGGCUAACUACGUGCCAGCAG